CAGCCGCGGUAAUUCCAGCUCCAAUAGUGUAUAUUAAAGUUGCUGUGAUUAAAACGCUCGUAGUUGAAUUAAAAUGUGAUUUUAUACAUUUUGAAGACUUUACAUUAAGUGAAGUUUCUAGAAAUGUUAAAUUAAAAUCAAAGAAGGAGACAAUUCAAGUAAUUGAGUUGUCAUUACUUUGAAUAAAAUAAGGUGUUUAAAGCAAAACAUUAUGUUAAUGAAUAUUCAAGCAUGGGACAAUGCUGAGGAGAUGUCAAUUAGACAUUUCGAGAGAAGGAUUAAAAGGAACAAUUGGGGUGAUUCAGAAAAUAACGGGAGAGGUGAAAAUCCAUGAUCGCUAUAAGAUGCACGAGAGCGAAAGCAUUUCACUCAACUGGGUCCAUUAAUCAAGAACGAAAGUUAGGGGAUCGAAGACGAUCAGAUACCGUCGUAGUCCUAACUAUAAACGAUGUCAACCAAGGAUUGGAU
rnacentral:rRNA from 1 species